rnacentral:rRNA from 1 species
AGUGAACGCUGGCGGUAGGCCUAACACAUGCAAGUCGAACGGCAGCACAGUAAGAGCUUGCUCUUACGGGUGGCGAGUGGCGGACGGGUGAGGAAUACAUCGGAAUCUACUUUUUCGUGGGGGAUAACGGAGGGAAACUUACGCUAAUACCGCAUACUAUCUACGGGUGAAAGCAGGGGAGCUUCGGACCUUUCGCGAUUGAAUGAGCCGAUGUCGGAUUAGCUAGUUGGCGGGGUAAAGGCCCACCAAGGCGACGAUCCGUAGCUGGUCUGAGAGGAUGAUCAGCCACACUGGAACUGAGACACGGUCCAGACUCCUACGGGAGGCAGCAGUGGGGAAUAUUGCGCAAUGGGCGCAAGCCUGAUCCAGCCAUACCGCGUGAGUGAAGAAGGCCUUCGGGUUGUAAAGCCCUUUUAUUGGGAAAGAAAAGCAGCAGAUUAAUACCCCGAUGUUCUGACGGUACCCAAAGAAUAAGCACCGGCUAACUUCGUG